rnacentral:lncRNA from 1 species
ACUAGACCAAAAUUGGUGGGAGAAACAUUCAAAGGGAUUAAGUUGGUAAAAAAAAUAUUUGCCCAAAGUAGGCAAGAAAAGUUAUUCUUAGAAUUUAAAAUGGAUGACCUGUGUUUCCAAAGAUCUCGCCAAUAAAAGACACUAUGAGAUUUGGAAAAAAAAAAAGUUAAAUCCCAAAUGCAUAAAACCCAUUAAGAUAUUAGAAGGAGUUGAAAUCAUUUAUAAAGAUACCGAAUCGUAAAGAAAAGAUAUUACGAUCCUGGAUAAUUCUACUAUGAGAUUUGGGAAGCAAAGAAAGUUAAAUCCCAAAUACAUAAAACAACUUGAGAUAUUAGGAGUUGAAAUGACUGUACAAAUUCUGGAUCACAAAGAAAGAUAUCACGAUCCAGAACGAUUCUAUGGGAAAAGGUACUUUGGCAACACUGUCCC